rnacentral:rRNA from 1 species
GAGUUUGAUCCUGGCUCAGGAUGAACGCUGGCGGCGUGCCUAACACAUGCAAGUCAGACGGUGAUGAAUAAUCACAGUGGCGCACGGGUGAGUAACACGUAGCUUAUCUGCCCUCAAGCGGGGGAUAACUCAGCGAAAGUUGAGCUAAUACCCCAUAAGCUCACGACGAAUAGACAGUUGUGAGAAAAGGCUUCGGUCACUUGAGGAUGAGGCUGCGACCCAUCAGCUAGUUGGAGUGGUAAAAGCACACCAAGGCAACGACGGGUAGGGGGCCUGAGAGGGUGACCCCCCACACUGGGACUGAGACACGGCCCAGACACCUACGGGUGGCUGC